rnacentral:lncRNA from 1 species
UUUCAAACCCAAUUUCAUUCAAAUAAAUAGAUUUAAAGAGGUAAUGGCCUUAGGGUCCGAAUGAAUAGAGGUUUUUACAACAAUUAAGCGUGAAAGUUUUUCGAGGUAUUACAUUCUCCCCCACCUUUAAAAAAUUUGGUCCUCCAAAUUUAUUACAAAUGGAUGUGGAAAAUUUCUCUCCCUUUUCUUUCUCCAUUUUCCACAUUGCCUCUUCUGGAGUGUAGUGCUGCCACUACACCUUC